AAAGCCUCCCCCAAGGCCCCAAAUCCACACUAGAAUACAACCUCCUUCCUAGGAGGAGCACAGGCGAGGGAGGGCCGGCUCUAUGGUCCUGCAUGAAGGUACAAGAGGCGAGGGUUGGAGGUGUGUGACUCACACAGGCUGGUCAGAGGCCCCGGAGUUCAGCCUCUGUCGGGUAUUUACCUACCCAUCACCAGCCGCUGACUACGUGCUCACUGUGUACCAGGGACCUGGCCAAGGGCUUCACGUGUAAUCUCAUUUAAUUCUCACAAGAGAUGCAGAGAGGUGACGUGACUCAUCAGGUGACAUGACUCACCAGGUCACCUAGCUGGUAAGGGAUGGAACUGGGUUGUGCAUAGAGGCCUAUCUGUGUCCACAGGCAGGCUCCCAGCCACCACCCUCCAGUUCCGUGGCCCUGCUCUGGGACGUGGGAAGAUAAGAAAGAAGAAGGGCUCCAGGACUCAGCUGCUCCUCGUUGUCCCACCUACUGGUCCCACCUACUUUGCUCUCUCCCAGGCCUGGCUGUGGACCUGGCCCCUCCCAGCCUCCAGGAUCUGAGGGAAACAGCUGGCUCCCCUCCUCACCACACCCCGGCGGCCAUUCUCUUGGACCCCUCCCAAGGGUACCACCUAGCCCUGGUCUGUGGACAAAGUCAAAGGGGGGCCUUAUCUCUCAGGAUCUGUCCCUCAGGGACUAGUCAUCACCUCUGUCCACCUCCUUCCCUUCAGCCGCCUACCUGCCCACACAGUAACACCUGAAUAUCUUCUUUCAACCUGAUCCCAGGCACAAUAUCAUAAUACAAAUAACAAUGAUGGCAAUAAUAAUGGCAGCUGUCACUCAUUUGGCAUCAUUUAAAUAGAGGCACAGAGAGGUUAAGUUAUGCCCUUAAGAACAAACAGCCAUCUCAUUCAAUUAAGCUGGUGUCUGAAUUUAGGUUGGGCUUCUGUAAAUCAAACUUCUUUGGUGUCCAGAGAUUCAGCGCCCUCCCCUGCAGCCUCCUACAACGGUCCUAGUCCCAACCAUCAGUUCUAAUUUUUGACUUCUAAUCUAUCCUCCUCUCAGCUUCUAGUCACCACCUCCCACCAACAGCCAUCCAACUAGAUGCACUACUCUCCCUCGCCACUAGGUGUCCCCUUGGAGCCACUGAUGCCCCCAAGGGGAGCUGGCCCUGCCCCGCCCCCUGGGGCCAUCAGGGCCCCCCCACAGCACAGCACAGCAGUGCACACCCCACCCCACCCUACCCCCAGCCACACAGAGCUCCUUUGUGCAACCCUCGCCCACCCCCUUCCUCCCUGGAACAGGGCACCUGGCAAGCAGGUCUGCCCCAGAACCGCCCCCUGCCAGCCCCCUGCCCUGGGUGCCAGGUGUGUGGGCGCCACCGCCAGCUCUGGCUGGACCCGAGGGUCACCCUGCCGGCGGCCCUCCCUUCCUCCCUCCGAGGUCACCCAGGGACUAAGCUUCCCGCCCUGCUCCGCCCCCCUCCCCUCCUGCCCUUGGCCCUUCCAGACUCCCGUCCUUGUCUUUCCUUCUGUCUCCCGGAGGACUCCCCUCCUCCAGCCCCACUAGGCCUUCCCUGCAGCCUCUCACCCCCGCCCACCUCCUUCCCCAGAGAGCUCCUUGUUCCACGCCCCCCCGCUCCCCGCCCAGGUCUGAAGAACUCCUCCUCCUGGAAAGUUGCUGCUGGAAAGGAAGUGACUUCAGCAAUUUGGCCACAAGGCUGGGCACUGCUGAGCCCAGCUCAGCUCAAGGCUUGCCCAACCCACCUCCAAAGCACAAAUGGAGCCACAUGUGCACAUCACUCCCACUGUGCACCCAGAACCCUGAGCACACACUUAGCCAGUGUACACACAGAUCCCCGUGUGCAUACACCGUACCAUCGCAGUGUAUUCAGAUCUUGUCUAUACACACAUCUCUCCAGUGUACACUAGCACCCUUGCACACAUGACAUCCAGUGUGGCACACACAGUAUCCCCACACCUGCCCAGUACACACCCAGAAUCCUGCAUAUUCAUACUUCCGGGUACCACAUACACAGCCCUUGAACGCUCCCCAGCCCAGUCCACUUACACAACUCUUGUAUAUUACCCCAUGUGCACGGAAGGACAGAGCCUUCCACACACACCUGCUUGCACACAAGCUUGAGUGCCCUGUACAUUUACAUUCGGAUACACACAGCCUCGCAUCCUCCCACAGCUGUACCUCCCCACCCUUACAAUCCCAGGAGACUCCACCCCCAGACCUCAGGCCCCAGGAAUGCUCCUUUGGAAGUAGGGUGGGGUCCCCAGGCAGGCUCAGCUCUAGGGAGCUUCCUGGAGCCGCAGGCUUCAUGUGUCAGUUCAGGGAGUUGCCUCUGCAGGGCAGGGCAGCUUCACCUGGCUCUGCAGCUCCUGAGCCUGGGUGGGCUAACCUGGGCCAGGAGUAGGGAGGUGGGUCCUGCCACUGCCCCCGCCCCCUCCCUGUCCUGCAAGGGCACCUUAGCAUACCUGGGCUACCCAGGCCCUCCCAGCACC
rnacentral:lncRNA from 1 species